UUUUUUUUUUUUUUUUUUUUUUUUUUUUAGGGAGAGGCCAGGCACGGGUGAGAAGUUUUCAUAUACAUUCUCUCUCCCAAUACUUCUCUUAAAAGAUCAAUUUUUUAAAGAAAUAAAAACAUGGUUCUCACAAUUGUAGCAAACAGUGGAAUCCCAAAAUGGUUGCAUUUUAAAGAAUUCAACUGUAAUUCUUUUGGAAAGUAUAACAUGAAGUUAAGCAAACUUAACGGACUGCUAAAAUGAUGAAAAAUUUUAAAGAAUGCAAGUGCAAUUUUGUACUUUUGGAAGAUUUGAUGUGAAAAACAAAUCCAAAAUAUCUCUCGAUGUAAAUUAAAGCUCAAGCCAUGGUAUUCAAAAUUAAAAUGAUUUACAUAAUCUACUAUACUUUGUGGGGUUUUUUAGUAAUUAACCUUCCUGAGGUUGAUUUUGUUCUCCUUAGUGUUUGCUUAGCUAAAGUGCUUAAUAAAAUUUCUACAGAAUAUAUUACCCUCUUCAUAGAUGAAUAUUAUUUUGAACUACAAUCUGACAAAAAUCUAACUACAUUUAAUUAUGCUUGAUUAAUCCAAAUGUCACUGAGAGAUUUAUAGAACAGAGAAAUAUUUUUCAGGUGAAGUUCAUACUCUUUCCACUGCAAGCUCCCUGGAUCCAUUAUUACCACAAAUCUACCACUCAGUUCCCUAACAUUUAAAAAAUAAUCCCACCAAAAAUAUUCCCAGUAGUCCACACUGGACCAUGGGACUCCAGGCAUCAAGCUCUACUGCUUAUCCUUUCCAAGAGCUAUGCAGACGCCAUCAAAGGCUGAAGCCAUCACGUCAAAUGGAGAAGUGAGCCGCUCCUGCAGUGCUGGAGGGAAAAAGAUACAGAGACGGGAAGUCAAAUACUAUUAUGAAUUUAUUAAACACUGCAAGGAGAUGAGUGGGAUAUAAGGGGUGGGCUUUCUUUUAAUGCAGGCACUUAACUGUAACAGACAUUUGUUGGGAGGCUUUCAGUAGUGAGGCCCCAAGGUGCUUCCAUUUAUAUGCGAAUAAAUCAACCUAAAGGGUGACAGGCUCUACCUCUGGGAAUAACUCAACUGCACGGCAUCUUCUGCUCCGCACUCAGAUCCACCUUCCCUGAGAACACAGAGUGUCCUUGCCGGCUCUGCUGCUCCCUCCGAGGGAGCGGGACCCGGACCACCACUGAGGGCCACCCACGUCACCACACAAGAAGCUGCCCGUCUCCUGGCUCCACCGACCCCGUUACUGGGAUCCUGGGCAAUUCAAGUCCAGGUUUCAGAGACAGAUGGAAAGGCAUCAACGGGUUUCUUAAGGAUUCUGUGACCACGAUAUUGCUGUCAUUUUAUUGUCUUCAUUUUGAGGGUGAACACAGCUAAGGCUAGAAAGCAGACUUAAGACGGACGCCUCCUCGGAUAACCCUUUCCUCCGGCCCUAAAGCCAGUGCACAAGCAAGUGGUAAAGAGGGUCUCUCCCCUUACAAGCAGCUCUUUUCACUCCAGCAUCACCAUCCAGAAGCUGGACGUGGGAAGAUGUGGUUGAAACAAUCAUCUCUGAGGUUCUACAAAGACACAGCUGGGACCUGCUGGGACUGCAUCUUUGGUAGGAGAAAAGAGCAGCCCACGCCACACAGCACAACGAGACCCGCAAAGCCAUCUCCUCUCACCGGACCCGGGUCCUCACCAGUCAGCGGUCAGCGAGACAAGGAAACGCACAGAGUCCGAGGCAGACUCUCCAGAUGCAGGUGAACAGACGCAAAGAAGAAGAGAACUCGGGACUCAGGGGGGCGCCCUCGUCUAAGGAACCCACCCGUCCAUGAUGACAACAACAAUUACGGGGUUUGGUGCCCACCUCCUACCACUCAACCCUUGCACUCCCCUUCCUGCCUUGUCUCCCAACUGUGCUAGAAACCGUCCCUGAUGAG
ensembl:lncRNA